rnacentral:lncRNA from 1 species
CAGCUGUGCCAGCAUCUCUGGGCCUCAGGAACACCGAAGUCCUCAUUCUGAGCCAGGAACACAAUAGAAAUUUCGCAUGCAUGCUAGCAUUGAAGCCUGACAAUGACCACAUUGUCCCCAUUCCACGUGGCAAAGAGAAUAAAAAGACCAGGAGGUACGCUGGGUGGCUGGGGGCUGGAGGGGGGGGAGAGGAAGCUCAUAUUUGUGGUUUUGAAAAGAGUGCCCAGGUUUCAUUGUGAACAACAGACCCAAGCGGGAACAGUUGGAAGCAGGGAGGUGCGCGGAGGGGCUAUGCUCUGAUCUAAGCAAGAGUUGGGAAGCAUGUUAUGGCUUGAGAAGAAGGGAUGUGACCUUGAACUUGAUGGGGCUUCAACCACACACAGAGAAGGAGAGGAAGGAGCCUGUCAGAGGCUGGUUUCAGAAUCAGACAGAGCCCCUGAAGAUCCCUUGGCCCCUGUCCACCAGACUAGAGAGAAACGGAGGGCUCUCUGGGUGCUGCGUAGAGGAUGGUUGAUUGCCGAGUAGCAGGGAACUGCUGGGAUCUCAGCAGGCA